GUGAGGAAUUUUCCGCAAUGGGCGAAAGCCUGACGGAGCAAUGCCGCGUGAAGGAUGAAGGCCUAUGGGUUGUAAACUUCUUUUCUCAGAAAAGAAUUAUGACGGUAUCUGAGGAAUAAGCAUCGGCUAACUCUGUGCCAGCAGCCGCGGUAAGACAGGGGAUGCAAGCGUUAUCCGGAAUGAUUGGGCGUAAAGCGUCUGUAGGUUGUUUAAAAAGUAUUCUGUCAAAGAUUAGGGCUUAACCCUAGAUAGGCAGAAUAAACUUUUAAGCUAGAGUUUGGUAGAGGCAGAGGGAAUUCCCGGUGGAGCGGUGAAAUGCGUAGAUAUCGGGAGGAACACCAAAGGCGAAGGCACUCUGCUGGGCCAAUACUAACACUGAGAGACGAAAGCGAGGGGAGCAAAUGGGAUUAGAAACCCCAGUAGUCC
rnacentral:rRNA from 1 species